AGAAUUUUGUUUGCUUUACGUAAAUAAACUUAAAAAAUUACAUGAAUUUUCUUCAUAUAUAUACCCUUAACUUAUCUUUCAUACGUACAAAAGAAUCAGUUGCUGGAAUACUUGGAAAACUUUUGAAACCAAAAUUGAAGGAAAAAUGAAGUUUUACGGAUUAAUUGUGCUAAUUGCUUGCUUGUUUGCUGUUUUGAAGGCCGAAAGUUGUAACGAUAAACUGGCAGAAGCUCAAAAAAUGAGAGCACAGGGUGUCCAAGACUAUCCUUCUCCUUCAUGUAACGCAGAUGGUACAUACUCUCCUCGACAAUAUGGAAGCUUUGGCCGGUGCUACUGUGUAAAUCCUGAUGGAGAAAAAAAUGACAAACCAUGUCCUUGCGAAUAAACUAUCUGAUUUAUGCACAAUACAAUGUAAAUUUUUGAAAUGAAAAAAAAAAAAUAGUUAUUGAAAUGCU